rnacentral:lncRNA from 1 species
CAAAGUUCUAGUGCCUUUCCAAAAGCGAAAGCUUAAUCCAUAUUGUUGGGCUGGCCCAAAAUGUUUGGGGCAUCUCGUUGAAUCGGCGCGAACAGGAUGGCGGGCCGGCUGCCACGAUCUCUCAGGACAGAAGAGCCAUGCCUAGGCCGACAGCGACUAACCCCAUCAUCCUCCUGUCUUGUGCAGCCGUGAGAUCUGGGCCUCGCCUGCGUCGAGGCCAACUGCAAGAAUGGCCCAGGACAACGCCAACUAGGUCAUCAACAUUCGAUCCCUUUUCUCCACCAAACCUGCACCACAACAUCAGUCGCCGUCCGCGCGGCGAGGCCGGAGCUCAGCCCACUAUGCCGCAACCCUGCUCGUCAUCCUUUGCGCCUCGGAAUUCCGGCCUCCACAGCACGGGUGCGAUGGGAUCCACCACUCCAGCGAACAUGAUCCACCUAUCAGGUCUGCCCGCCGGCUGAGCGCUGCCACUCCGGAUCCCCUGUCGUACUGGGCUAUCGCUGGUCAGCAAGAGGGUUGCGGCCCCGUCCUUCUGUGCAUCUUCUUCGUGCUCUACCGCCGCAGCAACCUCCCGUCACCAGUGUGAUGUCCGGGUGGCCGUGAGUUCUCUGCCUCUCCGCGCAGUAUCCAACACGGCCGAGCGCCGUUGCCGGCUAGCGAUUGGGCACCUUCCCCGUGCUUCCUAGCUUCUACUACCUUCUAGCGUCGUUCCCAUCUUCCCGUUCCUCUGUCUUGACAUGGCCAUUAGCGCUUGCCUUCCAACACGGGCAAAUAAUUAUGAGCUUUCUAUACACGAGUGAAGCGCCUGCAGGUGUGUGUUUGGAAAUUUUGCCUACACGUGUGUUGUACUUGCACAUAUCGUCAUGUGUUUUACCACCUCAAUUUCUCUUCCUGGUUGAUUUCUUACUGAAGCAUUCCAGUAAAAAAAAAUGUAUUUCGUACCAAAGCUACUCUUGCGGCUUGUGAUCUGAAGAUCAAAGAGAAAUUAUUUUGUUCAAUGUUAGUACUUGAGUUGUGCUGCAGUUCUGCCCAAGAUGUGUCUGUUUUUAUGCCUAAGAGGAGAUAUGUGUUUUCUAGAAUAAACUCAUAUGCAUUCCCUACGUUGAUUGCUCCUAAAUUGUAUGACAC